ACGCUCGACACCUACGGGGGCAGCAGUGGGGAAUAUUGCACAAUGGGGGAAACCCUGAUGCAGCGACGCCGCGUGGAGGAAGAAGGUCUUCGGAUUGUAAACUCCUGUUGUUGGGGAAAAAGAGGAUGGUACCCAACAAGGAAGUGACGGCUAACUACGUACCAGCAGCCGCGGUAAUCUGAGCGGGCUGGCAAGGC
rnacentral:rRNA from 1 species